rnacentral:rRNA from 2 species
GGAUUAUUGGGCGUAAGCGCGCGCAGGCGGUUUCUUAAGUCUGAUGUGAAAGCCCACGGCUCAACCGUGGAGGGUCAUUGGAAACUGGGGAACUUGAGUGCAGAAGAGAAAAGCGGAAUUCCACGUGUAGCGGUGAAAUGCGUAGAGAUGUGGAGGAACACCAGUGGCGAAGGCGGCUUUUUGGUCUGUAACUGACGCUGAGGCGCGAAAGCGUGGGGAGCAAACAGGAUUAGAUACCCUGGUAGUCCACGCCGUAAACGAUGAGUGCUAAGUGUUAGAGGGUUUCCGCCCUUUAUUGCUGCAGCUAACGCAUUAAGCACUCCGCCUGGGGAGUACGGUCGCAAGACUGAAACUCAAAGGAAUUGACGGGGGCCCGCACAAGCGGUGGAGCAUGUGGUUUAAUUCUAAGCAACGCGAAGAACCUUACCAGGUCUUGACAUCCUCUGAGGGCUCUAGAGAUAGAGCGUUCCCCUUCGGGGGACAGAGUGACAGGUGGUGCAUGGUUGUC